GACGAACCGUGCGAACGUUGUUCGGAUUCACUGGGCGUAAAGGGCGCGUAGGCGGCCCUCCUUGUCGCGUGUGAAAGCCCCGGGCUCAACCUGGGAACGGCGCGCGAGACGGGGGGGCUGGAGUUCGGGAGAGGAGCGUGGAAUUCCCAGUGUAGAGGUGAAAUUCGUAGAUAUUGGGAAGAACACCGGUGGCGAAGGCGGCGCUCUGGACCGAGACUGACGCUGAGGCGCGAAAGCGUGGGGAGCAAACAGG
rnacentral:rRNA from 1 species